rnacentral:rRNA from 1 species
AGGGAAUUUUGGGCAAUGGGCGAAAGCCUGACCCAGCAACGCCGCGUGAGGGAUGAAGUAUUUCGGUAUGUAAACCUCGAAAGAAUGGGAAGAAUAAAUGACGGUACCAUUUAUAAGCUCCGGCUAACUACGUGCCAGCAGCCGCGGUAAUACGUAGGGAGCAAGCGUUGUUCGGAUUUACUGGGCGUAAAGGGCGCGUAGGCGGCGCGGUAAGUCACUUGUGAAAUCUCUGAGCUUAACUCAGAACGGCCAAGUGAUACUGCUGUGCUAGAGUGCGGAAGAGGCAACCGGAAUUCUUGGUGUAGCGGUGAAAUGCGUAGAUAUCAAGAGGAACACCUGAGGCGAAGGCGGGUUGCUGAGCCGACACUGACGCUGAUGCGCGAAAGCCAGGGGAGCAAACG